CCGCCCCCAAAAAGUGGCCUAAGAAUGUUCAGAAACAACUCGAAGGUGUAUUUCCUGGAUUGUAUUUGGUUGGAGUUGCGGCCGACUCUUAUCGGGUUAUGAUGUCUUGAGGUAGAUCCGAUGUUGAUAUAAAGAUUCUAAAGCAAAUGGUUCCUUGGUGGUAGAGGUAUAGUAUUGGUGCAAACAAGGAUGACAGUAAUGGUGAAACAGAUUAAUGGUUAUAUAUAGUAUUUAAUUUCUAUCUUCGGUAGCUUAUUUUGGGCAUUAUCUAGAAUUUAGGGGCUUAAGCAGUGGUUCACUUUUAUUAGUGGCGCUUAUCAUGUAAGCUUUAAGCUUUUUGUGAAUGAAUUCGUUGGAUCCAGCAUUUGUUGCAAUGCAAAUACCAUAUUGGCUUUAA